rnacentral:rRNA from 1 species
GACGAACGCUGGCGGCGUGCUUAACACAUGCAAGUCGAACGGUGAAGGGGAGCUUGCUCCCCGGAUCAGUGGCGAACGGGUGAGUAACACGUGGGCAACCUGCCCCAGACUUCGGGAUAACGCUUCGAAAGGAGUGCUAAUACCGGAUACGAACUCCUUGGGCAUCCUUGGGGUUGGAAAGUUUUUCGGUCUGGGAUGGGCCCGCGGCCUAUCAGCUUGUUGGUGAGGUAACGGCUCACCAAGGCGACGACGGGUAGCCGGCCUGAGAGGGCGACCGGCCACACUGGGACUGAGACACGGCCCAGACUCCUACGGGAGGCAGCAGUGGGGAAUAUUGCGCAAUGGGCGAAAGCCUGACGCAGCAACGCCGCGUGAGGGAUGACGGCCUUCGGGUUGUAAACCUCUUUCAGCAGGGAAGAAGCGAAAGUGACGGUACCUGCAGAAGAAGCACCGGCUAACUACGUGCCAGCAGCCGCCGUAA